rnacentral:rRNA from 1 species
GUGCCUUGAAUAAAUCAGAGUGCUCAAAUCAAGCGUAACGCUAGAAUGUAAUAGCAUGGAACGAACAGCCAGAUUUCUGGUUCAGUUGGUUGGUGACACCGGCAAUCGGUAAUUGAAUGUAUUUACGUCGUCAGUAGUCAGGUAGCUGGAAUUACAUUCCUCUACUUGGCCAUUAGGUGACCUCUGAGCUUUCAAGAACCGGUUGUUAGGAUCUGAACCGGGUCAUGAUUAAAAGGGGCAUUUGAGGGCGUUAGUAUUUAAUGGCGAGAGGUGAAAUUCGUUGACCCAUUAAGGACUAGCUAAUGCGAAGGCGUUCGCCAAGAAUGUUUUCAUUAAUCAAGAACGAAAGUUGGAGGCUCGAAGACGAUCAGAUACCGUCGUAGUUCCAACAAUAAACUAUGCCAUCACGGGAUCAGCUCGUGAAAUACAUACUAGUUGGUCUCCCAGGGAAACCUUAAGAUUUCGGGUUCCGGGGAGAGUACGGUCGCAAGUCUGAAAUUUAAAGGAAUUGACGGAAGGACACCACCAGGAGUGGAGCCUGCGGCUUAAUUUGACUCAACACGGGGCAACUCACCAGGUCCGGACAUUGAAAGGAAUGACAGACUGAUAGAUCUUUCAUGAUACAAUGAUUGGUGGUGCAUGGCCGUUCUUAGUUGGUGGGGCGAUCUGUUAGGUCUAUUCCGGUAACGAGCGAGACCACGAUCUCUAAUUUAUCGCUUUGUCCAUUUCAACUUUUCUCCGUGCACUGUGUUUCAGUGUAAUCAUACAGUGUUUCCUUGGGAGCAAUUCUUUGGUUAUGAGGUGUGGUUGUGCUGGAAUGUAAAUGUAUGGAGUUAAAGUCGGGCAGAGAUAAUAGAGAGACUACCGUGCGAUUUUAAAAGCCGGGGGAGGCGUGGCAAUAACAGGUCUGUGAUGCCCUUCGAUGUUCUGGGCUGCACGCGCGCUACAAUGGCAGUGACACAAAGUUACUGCUCCGAGAGGAGUGGUAAAACCAAAAUCGCUGUCGUAAAUGGGACUGAGCCUUGUAAUAAUUGCCCACGAAAGAGGAAUUCCUCGUAAGCGUGAGUCAUCAACUUGCGUUGAAUACGUCUCUGUCCUUUGUACACACCGCCCGUCGCUACUACUAAUUGAAUUGUGUUUCGAA